rnacentral:misc_RNA from 1 species
GAUGAAGGAACGUAGCGAAAUGCGAUAAGUAGUGUGAAUUGCAGAAUUCAGUGAAUCAUCGAAUCUUUGAACGCACAUUGCGCCUUCUAGUAUUCUGGGAGGCAUGCCUGUUUGAGCGUCAUUAAACCUCUCUCAAGUAUGAUUACUUGGAUGUGAAGGAAGAGUACCUUAAACUUAAGGAGUGUUCUCCUUUGAAAUUGAUUAGCAGAUGGUAAUGUUAUUAAAUCCCUGAUGUUGUAAGAAAUAACAGUGGUUUUGUAGACUAUUAUCUAGCUUUAAAUUAUAAUUUUUAUUAUGGUUGACCUCAAAUCAGGUAAGGAUACCCGCUGAACUUAAGCAUAUCAAUAAGCGGAGGA